GACGAACGCUGGCGGCGUGCCUAAUACAUGCAAGUCGAGCGAAUCUUUUGGGAGCUUGCUCCCAAAAGAUUAGAGGCGGACGGGUGAGUAACACGUGGGCAACCUGCCUAUAAGACUGGGAUAACUUCGGGAAACCGGAGCUAAUACCGGAUACGUUCUUUUCUCGCAUGAGAGAAGAUGGAAAGACGGCUUCUAGCUGUGACUUAAAGAUGGGCGCGCGGCGCAUUAGCUAGUUGGUGGGGUAAGGGCUCACCAAGGCGACGAUGCGUAGCCGACCUGAGAGGGUGAUCGGCCACACUGGGACUGAGACACGGCCCAGACUCCUACGGGAGGCAGCAGUAGGGAAUCUUCCGCAAUGGACGAAAGUCUGACGGAGCAACGCCGCGUGAACGAAGAAGGCCUUCGGGUCGUAAAGUUCUGUUGUUAGGGAAGAACAAGUACCGGAGUAACUGCCGGUACCUUGACGGUACCUAACCAGAAAGCCACGGCUAACUACGUGCCAGCAGCCGCAGUAAAAC
rnacentral:rRNA from 1 species